UUAUCCUCAUUUGCCCCUCUUUCUUCCUUUCUGGUCGAUCGACCUCUCCUCCUAUUGCUCUCCUCAAACCUGCCACUCUCUCUAUCUGCUCUCUCAACUUCUCAAAUCGGUAAUUGAAGGGUCGAUCAGAAGGGUAGAUUUUAAUCGAUUUCAUUUCACUCAAGCCCUGCGAUUUGAAGAACAAGAACACGAUUCUUUUGUUGCACUGCGUCUAGGUUCGUAUUAUCUAUUUUCUCUCUCUGUCUAGACUUCUUUUGUAAUCGGUAUUUGGUGUUCGCUUCAUUAGUAACUGAAUGGAUGACCUUGCAUGCGUGUCCGGUACCCAGCAAGAAACUCAAAAUCACAGCAUUUUCUCUCUCUUUUGGUAUCAGAAAUUAACAUACCAGUCCUCCAAUCAAUAACCAAAACAUUCGAUAUUCACCCUCUUUCCCUUCAAUUGAUAAGUUGGUUCCUGGUGUUGUUGGUAUGGUGUUUUGUUGGUAUGGCGGUAAUGUGGUGAUGAUUGUUGUCGGUUUGAUGGUGCAUGGUGGUGUUGGUAUGGUGUUUUGUAGUGGCUAUAAAGGAGGAAUUUGAUGGUGCAUGGUGGUGUUGGUAUGGUGUUUUGUAGUGGCUAUAAAGGAGGAAUUUGAUGGUGCAUGGUGGUGUUGGUAUGGUGUUUUGUAGUGGCUAUAAAGGAGGAAUUUGAUGGUGCAUGGUGGUGUUGGUAUGGUGUUUUGUAGUGGCUAUAAAGGUGGUGUUGGUAUGGAAGUGGCUGAUGAUGGUGGUGGUCAAGUUUUGGGGUGAUGGUUGGUGGUUUGGCGGAGAGGCGGGUAUAGAGAUGGAGAAGGGUUAAGUUGGUGGUGGUCGAUGGUGUGUGGAUAGAGGGUGAAGGUUGUGUAAUCAGGCUCAACACUCCUUUUGACCAAAAAAAAAUCAAACUCCCAAUCAGAGAUCAAACACUCCUCUUGACAAUCAAUAUUUGGUGUAUACCUAAAUGAUUCUCGAGGGCUGAAUCCUUUUAUUAGCUAUGUGAAUUGAUGGAUGGAUGUUGUUACUUGUAGUAAUUCCUUUCUAGGUUUGUGAUUCCAUUUCUUUAGUAAUGAUGUGCCAUUUGAUUUUGAGGUAUAUGUAAGCUUGUAAACUUAUACUCAGAUCUCUGUUUACCACAAUUCUCAAUAGUUGUAUUAUUAGAAAAUUGUGCUCAAUGGUUUUGUUGUUUAAACUAUGUAUGAACUAUGGUCAAUUCAAUGAUAUUGUCAUUUGAAUGAGCUCCUUUUGAACAAAAAAAAAAUACAUUUUAUGGUUCACCUUCAGGAUUCCUGAUUCUGAAUUAUUUUAUUUGUUUGUUGUAUCACAAACUCCCAUCAAAACUUAUCUCAAUGGUGAAUUUAUGGUUGGAUCAAAGUUCAUUGCCUUUUCUAAAAUCAAGAAUAAAAUUCAUUGUUAUUUUUUAUGCUAUAUAAAGUUUUCCAUCAAGGGGUAAUAUAUUCGUUUUUUAUU
rnacentral:lncRNA from 1 species